rnacentral:rRNA from 1 species
AUAGCCGUCUCCGAAGCNUUAGAUUAAGUUGAUCUGGCUCAGANCUGAACGCUUAGCGGCAGGCCUAACACAUGCAAGUCGAGCGGAUGACGGGAGCUUGCUCCUUGAUUCAGCGGCGGACGGGUGAUGUUUAAUUGCCUUAUGCUUGGGAAAAAAUCCUUGACCCCCCCAUUUGGUGGGAUUUAAANGGGUUUUGGUCGGUGGGUUGGGUUUGGGGAAAAACCCAAAAAAAAAACCCUGGGGAAUUUUAUAUAUUUCCCGGGAAAAAAAAGGGGUGGGGAAAAAAAACCCAGGGAACCCUUUUACGAGAAUUUAAAAACNCCAGGGGCCAAAAAUUUAAAACCCAGGGGAAUUUUUCCCGGCCCAUUUAAAAGCCCGGGGAGGGGG